rnacentral:rRNA from 1 species
UACGUAGGGUCCGAGCGUUGUCCGGAUUUAUUGGGCGUAAAGAGCUCGUAGGCGGUUCGGUAAGUCGGAUGUGAAAACUCGGGGCUCAACCCCGAGACGCCAUCCGAUACUGCCGUGACUUGAAUCUGGUAGGGGAGCACGGAAUUCCUGGUGUAGCGGUGAAAUGCGCAGAUAUCAGGAGGAACACCGGUGGCGAAGGCGGUUCUCUGGGCAUGUCCUGACGCUGAGGAGCGAAAGUGUGGGGAGCGAACAGG